rnacentral:rRNA from 1 species
UACGUAGGUGGCAAGCGUUGUCCGGAUUUAUUGGGCGUAAAGGGAGCGCAGGCGGUGACUUAAGUCUGAUGUGAAAGCCCACGGCUCAACCGUGGAAGGUCAUUGGAAACUGGGUCACUUGAAUAUAGAAGAGGAAAGUGGAAUUCCAUGUGUAGCGGUGAAAUGCGUAGAUAUAUGGAGGAACACCAGUGGCGAAGGCGACUUUCUGGUCUAUUAUUGACGCUGGGGCGUCGAAAGCAUGGGUAGCAAACAGGAUUAGAUACCCCCGUACGU